UGCACCAGCCUGACCUGCUGCCGAGUACCCUUUGCCCACCAGCGCUGAGGUUGUACACAGCGGCUUGGAGUGCAGCGCCGGAGCCUUUAAGGACGAUGCCGCCCCGGGAGACAGAUAGCUCGCGAGCAUCUGCUCCACACGAGGCAUUGCCUUAUAAUCGUGCUCACUCAUCCCCGCUACGUAGCCGUAGUGAUCAGAAGCGGGAAUGAAGAGGAGAAUGGUUUUGCCAACGAUUUACACACCUCACUCUUCUCGCUCGCACUCAUCUAAUUUGCUCUUCUGCAGUUCAGCCUUUUUCUCGGCGGGCCAAUCGAUGGUUAACUUGGCCACAGCGCGAGUAACCACCUCCAACAGCUCCUCAUACUGGGGUGAUUGAGGGGACUAGUCCUCAUCGACACCCACCACGUCAACCUCCUCGGUGGGAAGUAGUGCAGGAGUGCGCUUCUGAUCCCUGAGAACAGGGACUCACCCGUCUCCAUUCCCUCUGCCAGAUCCAACUGCGAACCCCACGAGCGCACAAACAACGCACAAGCUGUGUAUAUCCCCACUCGAAAUGAAGCGGGGACAAGGAGGAACACACAGCUUGAAACGUUGCUUGCCCUCGCCCAAAUGAUGCUUAGUCUUAGAGGGUGCUUUUGACAUGGCUGGGAUGACAAACAACACUAAAUAAGACUCACAAACGAAUAAUAAACGAACAGACACACACAGAACGCUUGCUGAAGACAGAAGGCUAAUGCCGGCUUCACUGUACGUGCUUUUAAGCUUCCUGGUCUCUGACGUCACCCGCCUAUGACGUCUCGCCCAUCCAUUGGACUGAUUGCACACGUGAUUCAGAGCGGUUCACGCUGGGGGCGUUCCCUGAAGCAUUUCCGAUGCAGCUCGAGUUCCUAAAGAGGAAGCCUUGGUUCUUGUCUCAGGGCCCGGUGCUGGGAGCUCCUUGUCGCCGCGUAACGCUAGCGAUGGACGCGUCCCUCACCGGCUGGGGUGCGGUCAUGAGUUGCCACCCUGCCC
ensembl:lncRNA